rnacentral:rRNA from 1 species
GGGGAAUAUUGCACAAUGGGGGAAACCCUGAUGCAGCCAUGCCGCGUGUGUGAAGAAGGCCUCCGGGUUGUAAAGCACUUUCAGUCCGGCGGAAUGUGGUGCAGCUAAUAUCUGCACCAAUUGACGUUACUGACAGAAGAAGCACCGGCUCACUCCGUGCCAGCAGCCGCGGUAAUACGGAGGGUGCGAGCGUUAAUCGGAAUUACUGGGCGUAAAGCGUGCGCAGGCGGUUUGUUAAGCGAGAUGUGAAAGCCCCGGGCUCAACCUGGGAUGGUCAUUUCGAACUGGCAAGCUAGAGUCUCGUAGAGGGGGGUAGAAUACCAGGUGUAGCGGUGAAAUGCGUAGAGAUCUGGAGGAAUACCGGUGGCGAAGGCAGCCCCCUGGACGAAGACUGACGCUCAGGCACGAAAGCGUGGGGAGCAAACA